AACGUAGGUUCCGAGCGUUAUCCGGAUUUACUGGGCGUAAAGCGCGUUCAGGCGGUUUGGCAAGUCGGGCAUGAAAUCUCUCGGCUCAACCGGGAGAGGUUGUCCGAUACUGCUGGACUUGAGGGCAGUAGAGGGUGGUGGAAUUCCGGGUGUAGUGGUGAAAUGCGUAGAUAUCCGGAGGAACACCAGUGGCGAAAGCGGCCACCUGGACUGCACCUGACGCUGACACGCGAAAGCUAGGGGAGCGAAUGGG
rnacentral:rRNA from 1 species